CUUGUUGCAGGACGGAUUUCCACCACUCUUUUAUCUAGUGCUGCUUCACUGAGACAACUUACCGAAGGGAAGUAAGCCGCCCCGCCUGAGCCAUUAUACUGAUACGGGUCAACCAGUCAUUGGACUAUCCUCUUCAUUCUGAAUGGCAUGUAUGCAACAGCAUAAUUAUACCUAUAUGUUUUUAACAUAUUAAAUUCAACUUUGGCAGGUGCAGACGAAGACAGAAAUAAACAAUCUACCCUUCCCACAAACAUCUUUGAAGCCGACUCUCUGCCUGAAGGCAGUCGGAGUGGCCAAGUAACUGAAGUUGGUUCCCCUGAGCAAUGCACAAGCCCUCUGUCUGAUGUGGAACACUAUGAUGAUGUUCUGCAAUGUAUUGCUGUGAGGCUGGAUCCAGCUCCUAUAUAUGGAUACAAGUCCUGGGUGGCUUUGGCAAAAGCAGAGGGGUAUACUAUGACAGAGAUUAAAUAUAUAGAGCAUAAGAAGAGAGGAGACAUGUUUUUUGGUGAGACACAUUGUAUUAUUCAGGAGAUGGUUGGACGUGGGAGGAAUCUGGGCCACUUGGUUAGGGUACUGCACUCCUGCCAGUGCCAGGACCUGAUUCAGAGGAUUUUAAUGUACCAUCAUGACUGUCCAUACUGCCAGCAGUUUGCCGCUAGUUGAUGACUCUCUGUUGGUACUAGUACAUCUUUUGACGGGUUGUUUUCCAGUCAUCAGAGACUCAUUCUUCUUUUAUAAAAUAGCAGAGUAAAACAUUCUAUGCAAAAAGAAAACAGUGGAAAAUGAGGAAGUACAUGUAGGAGUAUGGAGAGGUUUUCUCCACAUUUCUGCAAGCCAAGAAUCUAAUGUAUACUAUGUUAUAGAAAUUUAUUAAAAUGACUGUGGUAUUUGUAGACCCAUGGAUUUUUCAUAAGUGUUUCAACAUUGUUAUUUGUAUUUUGAGGCUUUGGUGUUUUUGUUGCAAAAAAAACAUGUUGAUUUCAAGCAAAUUUAUAGUCACCUGUUGACAAAACAGUGUAGAGGGAAUCCUGAAAAAUGUAGCAUAUAUAUACUUAUCAUGUACACUGUUAAAGAGUUCAUGAGAGACCCAAGUCCAUUCCUUCUGUCAUGCCAAAGAUUUUGUAAAGGGGAAUCGUUCUACUUCCUGGGUGCGGAAAAUAAGAGUAAACCAUAAUCAGUGCAGAAAUAGGAAUUUUACCACAGAUGUUGUCAUUAUACAUGUAGCUACUGUGGUGUACCAUCAAAGUGUGACACAUACCUUCCAUCAAAGUGUGACUCAUAACUUCCAUCGAAGUGUGACACAUACCAUGUACCUGGCGUAGAGGUGUGCCACAUAUCUGCUGUCAAAAUGUGACACAUACCUCUUAUCAAGGUGUGAGACAUACCUGCCAUCAAGGUGUAUACUUACUUGUACCUGCUAUCAGGGUGUGUACUUACAUGUACCAGCCAUCAAGAUGUGUACUUACUUGUACCUGUUAUCAGGGUGUAGCAAAUGGCAUGUAGCAGUUUGGGGUUCAUCUGAAUGUUAAACACAAUAACCCAAGGGGGACGUCCUAUUGUUGAAGAAAUUUCUUGAGUACGGCAUAAAACACCAAUCAAAUAAAUAAAUAAACUCUAUUAUUGAUCGUACUAUUCUUUUGUUGAUACUACCGUAAAUGACCAAAUUCUGAACAUUCACAUCUCUUUUGUUAUUUAGAAUCUCCGUUAGGCAAAUAUAUAAUGUAUUGAGAUAAAGUUUUGCAUUCACAAUUCUCCAACAGACAAGCUUUCUGGUAGUCCUGCUACCAAAUCUAGGUUAUUAUAAACAUUUCUUACACAAUUAAGCUGUUGUUUCCAUUGAUAAUUAUCAUGGUCUAUGAAGUUACACUGUGAAAUAAACUGGUGUGUACAAAUGUGAUAAAUUUUAAUUCAUUCAAAUUGUUCUAUUCUCUCAGCCCUUUAGUGUGUAUUAAAUCAGUUUUUAAGUUGUAAGUGUGUACAGUGUACAUCGUUAAAUUAGGAUUCAAUCUUCACUGCAUGAGUUAUUUAUGAAAUGUUUGUAUUGGAUUAUAUAGCUUAUAUUUUAUUGAUAUGUGCAUGGAUGGUAAUAUACACCUCUCCCUCCUUACAACAUCUGACAGAGUGCAGCACCGUCGCCAGUGUGUCCCACAAAUUUUCCGACAAAAUUGAUCUAGUCCAACUCUAUACCUACUGGUACUUUGAAAUGGUUUGAUGUAGAAACUUUAGAUAUAAAGUUAUGUCUUUUUGCUCGUAGACCCUGGGCAGGUUGUGUAUUUUAUUUAUAGAGAGCCAUGGUGUUGCGCGCACUUCACUGAUUUGGAUUGCAGUGAGCCUCUUGUGCAGAACUGUGUCAUAAUGUGUUCUGUAAUCAGCAGCCAGUGAUCCUCAUUCCUUGCGCUUUACUUCUGACAUAUACCUUCCGUCACUAUGGUAUAAAUACCAAUCAAAUAAAUAUACCUGCUGUCAAGGUGUGACACGUAUCAUAUACACGGCAUCAAGACAUGACACAUACCUGCGGUCAAGGCAUGACAAGUACCUGCAGUCAAGGCGUGACACAUACCUGCCGUCAAGGCGUGACACAUA